GCGCCACUGCCGCUGAAUCUAGAUGGGAUGUUUGAGGGGCGUUCGCGUAUGUAAUAAAUGAGGAGUUUGGGAGCCUGUCCAGGUUUGUGCUGGUACCAGGACACACAGUUCCUCCAGAGACUACAGUCAGCAACAGAUGUCAGAGGAGACUGAGGGCUGAAGAAAGUGAGCAGAAUGGGUUAUUCAGCUGCAAUAAAAUUCCUCAAGUAAUGCUGGGAGACAGGAGAGCUGUAUGUCUGCAGAGUAACACAUGACAAGAUCUCAUAAACCAGGCAAUCCUGAUGCUUCCCAGUAGGUCUUGCUCUCUCCUGGGAAUGAAGCCAUAUCUGAGUCCCCUAUGACAGGUUUACCGCAGUCAGUCAACAAUCUACACCUUCUCACAGAGCUUCAACACACUAAAGACCAGACCUGAAUUCCCAGGUUCAAGGCUGUUUCUGGCUUUGUUAAUGCCAUAUAGGUGGACUGUUUCCCUUGUGUCUCCUUAACAGGCAACAACCUAGUUUUGGCAGGAAACGGCCCUGUCUGGGGUGAAAAUCUUCAUUAAAAUCUUCUAAUCUGCACAAUCUUCCACAGCUGGUGCGCUUCUUGCAUUGGCAUUUCGCUUGACAUCUAAAACUUACAGAACUGCAGCUCUGAGCAGUUAAUGCUGAUCACCAAAUCGCCUCUUUGUCUUUGUAGCUGUACUUUAGACAUUAAAAUAAGUGAGGAAUAUCGAUUACGCUGUCGCUCGUGUGAAGGGGGACAGGUCCUUUCCUGACUAAUUUGUAGGAAAAUGCACCUUGUGGCUCCUCCCUUGACACAGUGUUUAUUCAGCAGAAAUAAUUGGUAAUAGCUGAAAGGUAACGUGAGCAGAAUGAUCAUAUUUCUGCCUGUGCUGGAAACGUCUCAUGCAUUUUUAUGCAGUACAUAAUCACCA